GGCCAAGGUGCACCCCUGCCCCAGCUCUGGAUAACCCAACUUUAAGAAAGGGUAGUCAGGGGUGUGGGGCAGCUUUGUUUACUGCCCCAAAGCGAAGCUUUCCCGAAGCCCAGGGCCCUCUCGAUGCGCUGGCCUCCAGGCCUGACCACCAUAGUGUUCCAAAGGGGACUUCAGAUCUUGGCACGCUCCGUGGGUACACCAGUUCCUGUGAAUUGAGACGUCCGUGUAGUUUGGAACGAAAGGGCAUCAUGCUUUCAUGGUAGAGGUGGUGACCUUCCACAGCGGGGACGUUACCAGCCAAGGUAUCAACACAAUUGGAGUGGAAUCUCUCUCCAGCUUCAGGUUUGAUAUAAUGAACUACACGGAAGUGAGACAUACUUGGUGUGUUUCUGCCUCUAAAAUAUUUGAAUCAGCAAGUGUCCUUGUAAAUAAGAAGUUGACUUUUUGAGAGGAUUUUGUUACGAACAUGCGUAUUGCAAACACAUUUCCUUUAUUACGCCUUAACAGAAGACCCAACUAAUAUUAAUGAUUUUCCUACUUCAUAUCCCACGAGUUGUAUGGCAACCACGAAACAGGGUCAGGAUAAAAUGAGAAGUCAAAAAAAAAAAAAUUGAAUUCUGGAGCUGGGCCGUGCGUGUUCUGGAGGUAUUUACACUCCGCGACGAGUGACGCUCUUCUCUGUGCUGUGUGCAUCUAUAAAUCAUAUUUCAAAUUCCGCACCAAAUGAACUUAUCAACAGCCUUUGCUCAUGGCGUUCAUUGCCUCUGACAGAUCUAUCCCCCAGCUGGUGUUGAUUUCUCCCUGCACUGCGGGGAGAUCAUUAAUCUUGUAUGUUCUUUCACUCUGUGUGUUUUUUUUCUCUACUGAGAUUUUAAAACAGAUUGUGCCUGUUUCCACUGACCUUUGAGAGAUUUGUCAUGUGUCCUUUUUUUAAACAGGCUGUGUAAAAGCCAAUUCCUUGAGUGUAGCGGGGGUCACGGGCAGUAAUUCUGCCACCAGGGCGGUAGCCUUGAUUUUGUCAUCCUUCCCUACGGAAGAAUCAGGGCGAGGCCACCGCCACAGAAGCAUUUAUUAUUAAGCGUCUGAAGAGAUGUUCUGGGACCAUCCUGAUUAGCGAUUCUUCUCCAGGCCUGGUGAAGUCACUUCAUCCUGCCUCCUGAGCUGCAUUGAUAAGGCACGGCAGAUGCCGGCAGCCCCAGACUGACUGCCAAUGCCAAGGGAGAAGGGGAUUCCUGAGGAGCCCCACUGCCCCUGUAGACGUCUGUCCUUGAACCUCGUACUGGGCAGUUCUGUCCGCUGCCCAGAGAGGAAGGAUUGUAUCUGCGCAAGCCACCAAGAGAAGGGCAGUACAAUUAUCUAGUGAAGACAGGUGUUUAGAGAGAUAUCAGUGCUUGUGGAUGAAAGAGUGGGUAGAGACAACCCACGGCGGGCUCAGGAAGCGCUUCCUUCUCCGUGGCUGGUUGUUUCCUUCUGAAUUCUUUAGGACAUUAUUUAAAGUGCCCGUUUUAGAUAAAGUUGCCAUUUUCUCCAGUGAAAGGACUUUUGCUUUGGUAUCAUUCCUUACAAGUGGUAAGGACUCAACAUUGAUGGAAUGUUUACGCUGCUUCUCACCCCACAUGGAAACCCUUUGUAGGAUUAAAAGCAAGUGAGGGCAAGCCUUCAGAGAAAAAGAGGCCGCAUGCCUGUCAGACUCAGUCCCCUACCAAAUCUCUCUUGCCCGUUCCAUGUGCCCAGGGCCUGUGAGUGGGAGGCGACCGCCGGGCGACCGCUCUGUAAGCGACAUUGAACUCUCCCUCUGCCCACAUCUGGUACAGCCACCCAAUGAAGACGCUGCUUUUCCACCUUUACAAAUUCAAGUUGAACCCUCCUCCCAUCCUCAAUCAUGAUACCUUACUUGGACUCUUCCAAUCACAGACAUGGCUCUUUGCUUUCUGGUUCCCAUCCUUUCUUCUUCUUCUUCUUUUUAAUGUUUAUUGAUUUUUGAGACAGAGAGAGACAGAGCAUGAACGGGGGAGGGUCAGAGAGAGAGGGAGACACGGAAUCCGAAGCAGGCUCUAGGCUCCGAGCUGUCGGUACAGAGCCGGACACGGGGCUCGAACUCACAGACCGUGAGAUCACGACCUGAGCUGAAGUCGGACGCUCUACCGACUGAGCCACCCAGGCGCCCCUUCCUUUUGUAGAUUUGAUGUGAAGUGCUGUGCGGUGUCUGGCUACAAACUGGGGUUCUCUCGUAGCGAUGUUGGCUCUAUCCUGGCUGCACCUUCAGAUGGCCUGAGCGCACAUCAUCAUUCCGGCGAUAUUUGGUCCCAAGACCUUGCCACCCCACUGCCGUCCCCUCCAGCACGGAUUCUACCUGGUUCAGCCCAACCCUUUGGGAAGAGACAAGAGGCCCAACUAAGAAGGCGAUUAAAAAUAAAAUGUUCAUGAUUAAAAAAGAGUUUGCUAAUAUGUCGGAAAGAAUCCAGUAAUAUAUACACGAUGCUGGUCCGCUGUUGACUUCUCUACCCUUUAAAAACUAUUGUUGCUGCUGACAAAGGCAAUAAUAAAACUAGGUGGCUGCUGGG